CAGUAGCCACGGUAAAACGUAGGGUGCAAGCGUUAAUCGGAAUUACUGGGCGUAAAGCGUGCGCAGGCGGUUAUAUAAGACAGAUGUGAAAUCCCCGGGCUCAACCUGGGAACUGCAUUUGUGACUGUAUAGCUAGAGUACGGCAGAGGGGGAUGGAAUUCCGCGUGUAGCAGUGAAAUGCGUAGAUAUGCGGAGGAACACCGAUGGCGAAGGCAAUCCCCUGGGCCUGUACUGACGCUCAUGCACGAAAGCGUGGGGAGCAAACAGGAUUAGAUACCCGAGUAGUCCCUGUCUCUUAUAA
rnacentral:rRNA from 1 species